UGGCUCAGAUUGAACGCUGGCGGCAGGCCUAACACAUGCAAGUCGAGCGGUAGCACAGAGAGCUUGCUCUCGGGUGACGAGCGGCGGACGGGUGAGUAAUGUCUGGGAAACUGCCUGAUGGAGGGGGAUAACUACUGGAAACGGUAGCUAAUACCGCAUAAUGUCGCAAGACCAAAGUGGGGGACCUUCGGGCCUCAUGCCAUCAGAUGUGCCCAGAUGGGAUUAGCUAGUAGGUGGGGUAACGGCUCACCUAGGCGACGAUCCCUAGCUGGUCUGAGAGGAUGACCAGCCACACUGGAACUGAGACACGGUCCAGACUCCUACGGGAGGCAGCAGUGGGGAAUAUUGCACAAUGGGCGCAAGCCUGAUGCAGCCAUGCCGCGUGUGUGAAGAAGGCCUUCGGGUUGUAAAGCACUUUCAGCGGGGAGGAAGGCGUUAAGGUUAAUAACCUUGGCGAUUGACGUUACCCGCAGAAGAAGCACCGGCUAACUCCGUGCCAGCAGCCGCGGUAAUACGGAGGGUGCAAGCGUUAAUCGGAAUUACUGGGCGUAAAGCGCACGCAGGCGGUCUGUCAAGUCGGAUGUGAAAUCCCCGGGCUCAACCUGGGAACUGCAUUCGAAACUGGCAGGCUAGAGUCUUGUAGAGGGGGGUAGAAUUCCAGGUGUAGCGGUGAAAUGCGUAGAGAUCUGGAGGAAUACCGGUGGCGAAGGCGGCCCCCUGGACAAAGACUGACGCUCAGGUGCGAAAGCGUGGGGAGCAAACAGGAUUAGAUACCCUGGUAGUCCACGCCGUAAACGAUGUCGAUUUGGAGGUUGUGCCCUUGAGGCGUGGCUUCCGGAGCUAACGCGUUAAAUCGACCGCCUGGGGAGUACGGCCGCAAGGUUAAAACUCAAAUGAAUUGACGGGGGCCCGCACAAGCGGUGGAGCAUGUGGUUUAAUUCGAUGCAACGCGAAGAACCUUACCUGGUCUUGACAUCCACAGAACUUUCCAGAGAUGGAUUGGUGCCUUCGGGAACUGUGAGACAGGUGCUGCAUGGCUGUCGUCAGCUCGUGUUGUGAAAUGUUGGGUUAAGUCCCGCAACGAGCGCAACCCUUAUCCUUUGUUGCCAGCGGUUAGGCCGGGAACUCAAAGGAGACUGCCAGUGAUAAACUGGAGGAAGGUGGGGAUGACGUCAAGUCAUCAUGGCCCUUACGACCAGGGCUACACACGUGCUACAAUGGCAUAUACAAAGAGAAGCGACCUCGCGAGAGCAAGCGGACCUCAUAAAGUAUGUCGUAGUCCGGAUUGGAGUCUGCAACUCGACUCCAUGAAGUCGGAAUCGCUAGUAAUCGUAGAUCAGAAUGCUACGGUGAAUACGUUCCCGGGCCUUGUACACACCGCCCGUCACACCAUGGGAGUGGGUUGCAAAAGAAGUAGGUAGCUUAACCUUCGGGAGGGCGCUUACCACUUUGUGAUUCAUGACUGGGGUGAAGUC
rnacentral:rRNA from 1 species